UACGUAGGGGCCGAGCGUUGUCCGGAGUUAUUGGGCGUAAAGCGCGCGCAGGCGGCCUCGCGCGCCCGACGUGAAAGCCCCCGGCUUAACCGGGGAGGGUCGUUGGGGACGGCGGGGCUUGAGACCAGGAGAGGUGAGUGGAAUUCCCAGUGUAGCGGUGAAAUGCGUAGAUAUUGGGAGGAACACCAGUGGCGAAGGCGGCUCACUGGACUGGUACUGACGCUGAGGCGCGAAAGCGUGGGGAGCAAACAGGG
rnacentral:rRNA from 1 species